CGACUAUGGAAGAGAAAGAGUAUUGGAAGGAUAAUGCUAGCUUCUGUGAUUCUUCACAAUAUGAUAGUCGAAGAUGAAAAAGAGCAGGCUGCCAUUCAUAUUGACUUGAAUGAAAAUCCGGGGGCUUCAUUUGCUCUGCCUCCUGAAGUGAAUGUUGGCAGUAAUCUUUGUUUCGCUGAUGUGCUGCGUAGAAAAGCUACUAUCCGUGCUCGUCCACAACAUACCCAGCUUAAAAAUGAUUUGAUCGAGCAUAUUUGGCAUAGGUUUCGAAAUAGCAGUCAUAAUUAAUCAUGGACUGAGCAACGAGUGGUGAUUGCUGCAGGUGGUGUUUGCAGUCUUGAAGUAUAUUGAUGCAAAUGGACGGUCGCUCCUUUCUACAAAGUUUCAGCUAUGCUUUGUGACUUUCUGUGUGUGCUCUAGAUCAAAACUAAUGGCUUGUUCGCCUAAGAUCAUAUUUGGUACUAUGUUUGGUUGAUGACUUCUGAUAGACUCAUGUAAUGUUUAAGUGUCGAUGUGAUGGUGCUAUGUUCCACCAGUUUGUUGCUUAUCGUUUGUCUAGAUCGAAAU